ensembl:lncRNA
UGCACAGAAAUGGGGCAUCCUAGUGGCCCUCUGCGCUGUCCUGUCCAGGGGCAGGUGUGGGAGUGGGGCUCUGUUGGAAAGAGAAGCUGUCUUUCCACAUGGUGUCAAAGCCCUGCCAGGAACAUCAGUCUGGACAGAGAGCUGCGCUGCAUAUAGCACCCUCUCCUCACCUCAGUCUUCACCUGAGAGCUCACCUGGAUCCAAAGAUUCAUAGCUUCCACCAGAUUCUCAAAGGGAUCUGUGAUCCAAAAAAAAAUUCAGGAAUCACUGGUCUUAGGUGAAUUCUGAAGCAUUUUCUGACUGUCCACUAUGUGCUAGCCAAAGUUCAGCAACAUAGCUCCAGACUUCCAGCAGAGGACAGGGCAGUGAGGCAGAAGGUCAAGUUGAGCUGCAAUUAAGAGUUCCCUGAGGUCAGUGCGGUCACAGAGCCCUGAACAGUAACCUCUGGGUCAGGGUCUUCCAUCAGAAUUUUCCCAAGCAGAGGAGCACUGUGUUCAAAGCCAUGGAGAAAAGAACCCCAAGGUAGUAAGCUCAUGGACAGCCUUGAAUGCUAGGCUUGGUGUUUAAACUUGGAGGAGCAGCAAGGCUCAUGCUUGCAUAGGCCCAUGAGACCUGCAUAGACUGCAAUCCUUGGCAACAGUUUACUUAGUGUUCUGUCAGAGGCUUAGGUUUAAGUUCUUUCCCUGUAGCUGUGUGACAUUGCACAAGUCCCAUCACCACUCAGUGCCUCUGUCUACAAAACAUAGAUAGCACAUGUAUGCAUGCUUGCCUUGCCUGGCACAGUAUCUAUGGGGAUCUGAUGAAAGGGUGCUCAUGCACCUGCUGAGUAAACAACUGCAAACCUCUUUAUACAUAUCAGGUGGCUAUAAUUUAUCUGGAGACUGGCAAGGAGCAGUGGGCCCCUCUGAAGCAUGGAGAGUGGGGGAUUCCGUGAUAGCCAGGCAGAGCUGGGAAGCUGGGCCUGCCAGCUCCCAACCAUUGCUGCCUCCUGCACUUGUCACCACCUCAGGCAGUGCCUCCAGCAGGGCACCCCACUGCCACACUUGCCCCAGUUUGAGAAUGUCAUUUACCUCUGUUUCUCCCAUCAGCCUAGAACCUCAUCCCCCAUACAAGGUCCUGGCUUCUUAAGACACCUCUGCCUCAAUGGCCCUGGCUCUCCAGAUCUCAGCCUUGAGGAGUGUCAGCAUCAGGCAGAGCUGAGAGCCGUUCCAGAGUUGGGACCUCAGUUGUGGUCCACAUGGCCAUCUGCCUCCAUGAGGGGUGCCUAUGGGUAACUUCUGCCCUUCUUUCUUAUACUCCCCACCAGCCUCCAUCCUCCACCUCUAGUAUUUCUAAAUCUGUCCCUUUCUUCAGAACUAAACAACUAGUGAUAUUAUUUUCUUGUUUGGCCAGUCAGGCUGCUUCUGGGGAUGGGGUGGGAAGGGCAUCCCCAAUUGUUUCUGAGCCAUGGCUAGUGUUUUUUACUGGGCUGGAGGAGAAACCAUGGUGGCCUGAUCAUGCUGCUGGGACUGCUGAGGUUGCAAGCUUCCUAUGUCUGUGUUUGGGGGUUUCUCCUUUCAUGUGCAACCCAGCACAUUGUCUAAGGAAGGAAGCGGGUGGGGACUGGUCUCUGCAAUGCCUGGUCCACAUGACUGACCACUCUCCCCAGGCUGACCCAGCUAAUGUUCACACCAGCCAUUUUUUUUUCAUACAUUUUAUUUUGAAGUCAGACUUACAGAGAAGUUUUAGAAAUAAUACAAAGAAUUAUUUUAUAUCCUUUACUCAUAUUCCCCAAGUGUUAACAUUUAACUUGUUUGCUUUAUCAUACACUCUCUCACACACAUAUACCUACUGUAUUAUUACUUUUUUCUGGAAACAUUUGAGAGUAAAUUGCUGACCUAAUACCCUUAUUUCCCCAAAAAGUUCAGCAUAUAUUUCCUAAACAAGGACAGCCUCUUUUAUAACCACAGUACAGGUAUCAAAAUUAAGAAAUUAAUGCUGACACAGUACCUGAUCUUAUUUAAAUGUUGCCAGUUGUUGAACUAAUAUCCUUUGUAACGAAAAACAAAAAAAAAAAA